rnacentral:rRNA from 1 species
UACGAAGGGGGCUAGCGUUGCUCGGAAUGACUGGGCGUAAAGGGCGCGUAGGCGGCUUGUAUAGUCGGAUGUGAAAUUCCUGGGCUUAACCUGGGGGCUGCAUACGAGACGUAUGGGCUUGAGUGCGGAAGAGGGUCGUGGAAUUCCCAGUGUAGAGGUGAAAUUCGUAGAUAUUCGCAAGAACACCAGUGGCGAAGGCGGCUCACUGGCCCGAUACUGACGCUGAGGUGCGAAAGCGUGGGGAGCAAACAGG